rnacentral:rRNA from 1 species
AACGAACGCUGGCGGCAUGCCUAACACAUGCAAGUCGAACGAGAUCUUCGGGUCUAGUGGCGCACGGGUGCGUAACGCGUGGGAAUCUGCCCUUUGGUUCGGAAUAACAGUUGGAAACGACUGCUAAUACCGGAUGAUGACGAAAGUCCAAAGAUUUAUCGCCAGAGGAUGAGCCCGCGUGGGAUUAGCUAGUUGGUGUGGUAAAGGCGCACCAAGGCGACGAUCCUUAGCUGGUCUGAGAGGAUGAUCAGCCACACUGGGACUGAGACACGGCCCAGACUCCUACGGGAGGCAGCAGUGGGGAAUAUUGGACAAGGGGCGAAAGCCUGAUCCAGCAAUGCCGCGUGAGUGAUGAAGGCCUUAGGGUUGUAAAGCUCUUUUACCCGGGAUGAUAAUGACAGUACCGGGAGAAUAAGCUCCGGCUAACUCCGUGCCAGCCGCCGCAGUAA